GUAGGGAAUAUUGGGCAAUGGAUGCAAGUCUGACCCAGCCAUCCCGCGUGCCGGAAGAAGGCCCUCAGGGUUGUAAACGGCUUUUGACGGUGAAGAAUCGACAGGAUGCGUCCUGUUUUGACGGUAGCCGUUGAAUAAGCACCGGCUAACUCCGUGCCCGCAGCCGCGGUAAUACGGAGGGUGCGAGCGUUGUCCGGAUUUAUUGGGUUUAAAGGGUGCGUAGGCUGGAAGGUCAGUCAGCGGUGAAAAGCUGUCGCUUAACGAUAGUCUUGCCGCAGAUACUUCCUUUCUUGGAUGAGGAGGAGGCCACUGGAACGGAUGGUGUAGCGGUGAAAUGCAUAGAUAUCAUCCAGAACACCAAUUGCGAAGGCAGGUGGCUGUACCUUAAUCGACGCUGAUGCACGAAAGCAUGGGGAGCAAACAGGAUUAGAUACCCUGGUAGUCC
rnacentral:rRNA from 1 species